rnacentral:tRNA from 2 species
GGCCCAUUAGCUCAGUUGGUUAGAGCGUGGUGCUAAUAACGCCAAGGUGGCAGGUUCGAGACCUGCAUGGGCCA